GGGAAUUUUUGUCAAUGGGGGAAACCCUGAACAAGCAACGCCGCGUGGAGGACGAAGGCCUUCGGGUUGUAAACUCCUGUCGGAGGGGACGAAGGCGAUCGAGAUCAAUACCCUCGGUCGUUGACGGUACCCUACGAGGAAGCCCCGGCUAACUCCGUGCCAGCAGCCGCGGUAAUACAUAGGCUCCAAGCGUUGUUCGGAAUUACUGGGCGUAAAGCGAGUGUAGGCUGUCCGCCAAGUCGAUUGUGAAAUCUCCCGGCUUAACUGGGAGGGUGCGGUCGAAACUGGCGGACUAGAGUUCGGGAGAGGAGAGUGGAAUUCCUGGUGUAGCGGUGAAAUGCGUAGAUAUCAGGAGGAACACCGGCGGUGAAGACGGCUCUCUGGACCGAUACUGACGCUGAGACUCGAAAGCGUGGGGAGCAAA
rnacentral:rRNA from 1 species